AUUAAACGCUGGCGGCAAGCCUAACACAUGCAAGUCGAGCGGCAACAGAAAAAGUUAAUCUUUUUUGCUGGCAAGCGGCGGACGGGUGAGUAAUAUCUGGGGAUCUACCUUAUGGAGGGGGAUAACUAUUGGAAACGAUAGCUAAUACCGCAUAAUGUCCUAAGACCAAAGUGGGGGACCUGAUGGCCUCACACCAUAAGAUGAACCUAGAUGAGAUUAGCUAGUAGGUAAGGUAAUGGCUUACCUAGGCAAUGAUCUCUAGCUGGUCUGAGAGGAUGGUCAGCCACACUGGAACUGAGAUACGGUCCAGACUCCUACGGGAGGCAGCAGUGGGGAAUAUUGCACAAUGGGGGAAACCCUGAUGCAGCUAUGCCGCGUGUGUGAAGAAGGCCUUAGGGUUGUAAAGCACUUUCAACGGGGAAGAACAAAAAAACGCAAAUAACGUUUUUUUUUGACGUUACCCGUAAAAGAAGCACCGGCUAACUCCGUGCCAGCAGCCGCGGUAAUACGGAGGGUGCUAGCGUUAAUCGGAAUUACUGGGCGUAAAGAGUAUAUAGGCGGCUUAUUAAGUCAGAUGUGAAAUCCCUGGGCUUAACCUAGGAACUGCAUUUGAAACUGGUAGGCUAGAGUUUUGUAGAGGGGGGUAGAAUUUCAGGUGUAGCGGUGAAAUGCGUAGAUAUCUGGAGGAAUACCAAUGGCGAAGGCAGCCCCCUGGACAAUAACUGACGCUUAAGUACGAAAGCAUGGGGAGCAAACAGGAUUAGAUACCCUGGUAGUCCAUGCUGUAAACUAUGUCGAUUUGAAGGUUGUAACCUUGAGUUAUAGCUUUCGAAGCUAACGCAUUAAAUCGACCGCCUGGGGAGUACGACCGCAAGGUUAAAACUCAAAUGAAUUGACGGGGGCCCGCACAAGCGGUGGAGCAUGUGGUUUAAUUCGAUGCAACGCGAAAAACCUUACCUACUCUUGACAUCCAGAGAAUUAAGCAGAAAUACUUAAGUGCCUUUUAGGAACUCUGAGACAGGUGCUGCAUGGCUGUCGUCAGCUCGUGUUGUGAAAUGUUGGGUUAAGUCCCGCAACGAGCGCAACCCUUAUCCUUUGUUGCCAGCGAUACGGUCGGGAACUCAAAGGAGACUGCCAGUUAUAAACUGGAGGAAGGUAAGGACAACGUCAAGUCAUCAUGGCCUUUACGAGUAGGGCUACACACGUGCUACAAUGGUGCAUACAAAAAGAAGCAAACUUGCAAAAGUAAGCAAAACUUAUAAAGUGCGUCUUAGUCCGGAUUGGAGUCUGCAAUUCGACUCCAUGAAGUCGGAAUCGCUAGUAAUCGUGGAUCAGCAUGCCACGGUGAAUACGUUCCCGGGCCUUGUACACACCGCCCGUCACACCAUGGGAGUGGGUUGCAAAAGAAGUAGGUAGCUUAACCUUAAGGAAAGCGCUUACCACUUUGUGGUUCAUAACUGGGGUG
rnacentral:rRNA from 1 species